UGAGGUGGUACUGGAACUAUUCUGAUGGAGAGAUGAGGUGGUACUGGAACUAUUCUGCUGGAUAGAUGGGGUGGUACUGGAACUAUUCUGCUGGAUAGAUGGGGUGGUACUGGAGAGAUGAGGUGGUACUGGAACUAUUCUGAUGGAGGAGAGAUGAGGUGGUACUGGAACUAUUCUGAUGGAGAGAUGAGGUGGUACUGGAACUAUUCUGAUGGAGAGAUGAGGUGGUACUGGAAACUAUUCUGAUGGAGAGAUGAGGUGGUACUGGAACUAUUCUGAUGGAGAGAUGAGGUGGUACUGGAACUAUUCUGAUGGAGAGAUGAGGUGGUACUGGAACUAUUCUGAUGGAGAGAUGAGGUGGUACUGGAGAGAUGAGGUGGUACUGGAACUAUUCUGAUGGAGAGAUGAGGUGGUACUGGAGAGAUGAGGUGGUACUGGAACUAUUCUGAUGGAGAGAUGAGGUGGUACUGGAACUAUUCUGAUGGAGAGAUGAGGUGGUACUGGAACUAUUCUGAUGGAGAGAUGAGGUGGUACUGGAACUAUUCUGAUGGAGAGAUGAGGUGGUACUGGAACUAUUCUGAUGGAGAGAUGGGGUGGUACUGGAACUAU